UGAGGAUCUCAGUGGUCUUUGCCAACCUUAACGAUUCCAUGAUUCUGUGAUCUCCUGCAGCUCAUCAAUAGACCUGAAAUAGCUGAAAUAAUGCACACAUUUAUGCCUAUUUGGGGAUAAAUGUCACCACAGACCUAACACCUUCACAGCGUCCCAUCCAGCAGCAGAUGCUGAGCAGCAUAAUGCAGAACAGAAUCUCCCUUUUCCUGCCCCACCAGAAGGGAAUGUCUGGGAUAAUGCCUUGCAAAUCUCGCCAUGAAAACAUGCCAUUAUUCCCCGUGUAUGAUUAGUCUUUCAUGCUUCCCUUGUUACAAAUACGUAACACAUGCUACGGCACAGAAUGUGAUAAUGUAUUCUAAUGCGAUCUUUAAUGCUGAUAUUUAAAAACCUGUUCCUGAGUAGCACAAUUUGAGUUUCACACGAAUGUACCGCUACCAUUUUUUCCUGUUUUAAAGCACAAAGUCUUUCCGGCAAAAGGUAGGCAUUAUGUCAAUCCGCUUUUGCUCCUUUCUUCCUUCAGUUAUGUGCAGUUAAACGUUUUCUUCAUCUUCUAGGGGAAAAAUGAAUGAAUUAUUCUAGAACAAUGCACACCGCAGUGUGUGUGUGUGUGUAUUGGUGAGUCAAAACGCAAACAUUGAGAGAAGACAUUCUCAUUUGUUUCCAUCCCAGUUUUAAGUGAUAUUUUAGGAAGCAAUCAUAAUAAAGAGAGCUGAAGGAGCUGAAGGAAUUAUUUCUCAGUUAGACAGCAGCCUGCUGUUAUCUCUAAUCUAAGAGGCACUGGAUAGAGGUCAUCGUUUGAUCAAUGAGGUGAAUUUCAUUUUAUGGUGCUGAAAACAGACAGAGAAUGGUACAAUCGAGUGCUUUCAAAAAGAAAACAGAAGCAGUAAGAGAGUGAUGGAAGAACCGUAACAAAAAUAAACAGGUUUAUUGCUAUAUUAAGCCUGUUUUACAAGGACUCCAUAGUGCAGAAAGAGGAUGUCACCCAACUGUAGCCCCCCAGAUAGACAGGAUUUAUAAACACGUUGACUGUCUUGUGGACAAAUGGGGUUAAUGCGGUACACUGCUACAUUCAAAGAUUAUCUCCCAUAAAGGAUAAGCAAUUGAGUUUUCACACUGAAGCAGUAAUGCAGUGUGACUUUCAGGAGUCCCCACGCAGAGGUGCUGGCAGCAUUGGCACUUCCUUGCUGUCCGAAGUGCAGUGUGUUCCUCCGCAGUGGUUUAUCUCCAUGGAGCUUUUUGCCAUCUCCAGCUUUUGCAGGUGCUCAGGGUGCAAUGCAGACUGGCCAGGUUUUACUUGCAGCACUGUCUGAAAUGGAUUGAGAAGCCUGAGUUAAUCGUUUCCUAUUGAGGUUUUAUAGCUCAUUCGGAGUAUUGAGCACAGGCAUGUUGUCAUGGUAAUUGAGCAAUUAUUUCAUGUAUAAAUCUAGACCAUAUCAUAGAUGAACCUUAAACCAGCAUCUGCUCUUCCAUUCAAGAGCAGUAAAAGGGGCAGUGCAUUCCUCGUGCUUUUGAUGUCCUGCUUACAAGUGGCUGUCUGGGAAGAAGUUAAAAAUACUUCCUCACAAAAUACUGAAUUUCACAAUAAAAACAAUUGAUUACAUCCAUUGGAAUGAUCCAUCGUGGAGCAUCAUGGAGAAAGAUAACUUUUGGCAGAGGAAGCGAGGCAACCAAUAUUGAUAAAAGCAAGUAGAUGAGCAGGAGGAAAAGAUUGCUCAUAUAUAGAGAAGGAUAAAUGGAUUUGAUAAACGUAUGUACCAGAAAAAUGGACAACCAUGUAUCUGUCAUGGUAUCAGGAAAUGCUAUGAUUCUGAGUGCCUGACUACUACUGGUGUCUCGGUUGUAAAAGGAAGUCAGACUGGAGGAGUUCCUUGGUUAAGGUGGUAAGAGGGAGAUUUUUUUUCCAGAGGAAAACCUUACAUUGUAUCUGAGCAAUCAAUGGGAAGCUAAAGAGCACCUGCUGUCAGCACAGAUUAAUCUGGAAUUCCUUCACCUCUUCAGAUCCUUGUGCAUCAAACAUUAGUUUGCAUCAAAAGUUGGAACAGUGACUCAAAGAUCUCAGGAGUUCACAAAACUACAAGAGCAAAUCAAGGAAAAUGCCUCCCAUUUCUAUGGCCUGCAGACUUCAAAACCUGUAAUUGUGCUGGAAGUCUUUGAUCUCACCAUUACUCCUCUGUCGACUUUGAAGUCAAAAGGAUAGGGUUAUUGCAGUGGGAUCCUGAUGUGUCAAGUGUUAAUUCCCCGCAGCCACAUUCAAGGCACACCGUAUUAGCUACUGACCACUAAGUGCUAAAGGGUGUAACCACAUGUAGAGUUUUCCUCCUGCUCAGGGUUUCACACAUCAGUAGUUUCAGUGCACAGUUUGUUACUAACAGAGAGGUCACUGCAGACCACUGAUGCAUAGGACCUCAGGAAUGUGUUUUCUGGGACAAACGGGCAAUUAUGUAUUUUUAAUAAUCAAUUCUUACAGCUGAGCAAGAGUUAAAACGAUGUCAAAAACUAACCUGAAUAGUAGCAAAUGUUAUUUUUGGAACCUAGGAGGGAGCCCAGGGAAGAGGAGGGAUGAGCAGAGGCUGGCACAUGGGGAGCUGUGCCUGCUGACCCCUGGCACGGGACCUAACUGCUGCAGAGCCCCAUCGCUCCACAGCAUCGCUCCUAACUUUUGUCAUGCUGCAAUGAAGCAUCCCUGGAGUUCUGCAAUGGUUCCUAUGUGGCCGGAGUGGCUUUCUUAUUUCAACCUCUUGAGCAUCGAUUGUUGAGUCGCUUCCUCAUCAUUAAAAGCUCGUCAGGGACAAGCUCUGGAGUUCAGAAGCUCUGUGCAGUCACCAUGGCCUUCGGAUGCCCCAAGGGCACCAGCAGAGAGGAACGAGUGUGGCGAGAGCGCAGGCAGCUGUGAGCACACUGCAAUGUCAUUGCUGAUAUCUUCUCUGUGUUUUUAAAUACCAGUACAACAAAUGCCAGCACUGAACCAGAGGGAAAACUGAUGGCAUUCGGGGAUCACUGAAUGGAGGACUGGGCAUUCAGAGCUUCAUACUGCCCAGCAGUGAGAAGCAGACAUACGCUUUGCUGAUCUCAUGUACUCCUCCACCAUAAAAAGCUGCUCGCAGUUACAGUGAUGUUUCUAGAAGGUUUUACUACAGUUUAAGACAGAUUUUCAUUUGCUGUCAUCAGAGCCUCUACUAAACCACGAAAUUCAUUCACAGAGUUAAUCAGCAAGUUCACUUCGCCUGGAUUUGAAAUUCCUGGAGCUGAACGUUCACUUUGUUACAGUACUUAAGGGCUUAUAAUGUCCAAACAGCAUUAUGAACUCCAAGCUCAAGGAACAGUAAAAGUUGUUCAUGCUAUCAGUGGUCAUCUUCUGUAUAAACACCUGAAAGGAAAAGGUGAAGAUUUCAGAGCACCCUUCAGUGGAGAAGAAACUAAAAGACUUAUGGGGAAGUUUCUGGUGAGCUGAGUAUUUCAAAGAAGGGCAAUUCGGAACAUUUUCCAGCACAAGAUCAUUAAAUCUGAGUGAUAUAGUGGGUUUCUUUUGUUAUCUUGGAUAUUAAUUAACAAUUAGCAGAUUGUGGAAAAUAUACGCCUAUAGUUUUUAGCCUUACUUAAGAUAAUAAUGGAAUUUAACCCAGUUAGACGUUCUAAAAGCAGCUUUUGUUAUACUGUUUUUUUUUUGUCAUAUAAUGUUUGCAUCACAGCAAAGGUUUUAUAUUGUUUAAAUGUUAUGUGCUAGACUUACUAGAGUAUUCCAAGCUCUGUAGCUGUGGUUUUGGAUCAAAUGCUUAAAGGAAUGUCCUCAAAACCUCAAAUCAGAUGUCUUCAAACCCUGGAGUUACUGGCUGCUUUGUUGGCUGAGCAGAUGAGCCUGAAUCACAGCUGAUGAUGUUUCCCAGCUGUCAUUCCUGAAGGACCCAAUGUGAUGGAUGUUAUGGACCUCAUGCAGAACACAGUCCCUUGUGUCCUUCCCACCCAGAAGGUCAUUAAUUGCAUUGCUGAGCUGGGAAGAGGCAGGCUGAGGCUGAAUCCUGUGACCUGGUUUGGGAAGGGCUGGGUUCCUCCCUCUGAAUGUCCUCCCUGGACUUGGCCAUCAGUUGUGCAGCAGUAAGGACUACUCAGCAUUUCUUUUGAAGCUGUUCAGCUCGUAUAAAUUCAACUGCCACGACGUCUCCAUAAACUCAUUGGAGUACAGCUUAGAAGGCAGCUGCUUUCCUUUCCCAGUGUGUGUGCUUUAACCUGUAGUCACCAUAACCACACUUACCACAGAGCACUGAACCAUUCCUUGCACCUGUACUCUUGGAAAACACAAUCUAUAUAUAGCUAUUGUGGAAUCUACUGUUCGGAAUAAAUACCUAUCUCCCUUAUCCCACACUGUGCUUCAAAACAACCUCAUUUUGCCAUCACCAAUUAAAACCCCAUCCUUGCUCUAUCUCACAUAUGGUCAUUCAUACCCACCCUUUCAAACUAUCUACACAAUUCCAGUACACUCUUCUUAGCCCUCUAUGCAUACAAUUAACCCAGUCUUUGACUCACGAGUUAUCCAAAAUCCCCCAGUGGUAGAUUCAAUUGUAUACUGGGUGAAUGGGUGACUGGUGCUAUGCAUAAACUUUGUGAUAAAUGACUUCAUCCCUUUAUUAGUGAUAAUUAGAAUGGUAAUUAUUAGACUGUGACAGAUGGUGCAGAUAUUUUGGAAGACUUCAAUGUCAAGAAUCUAGGCAGCAGAUAAACAAUAUUUUAAAAAUAUCAGUGAUAUCUAAAUUGAAAAUUUAAAUUGUGUGGAAGUCAGAACAGGCUUCCUGUUCUGUGGAACAGGAAACCUAGGGGGCAAAAUUUGAGCAUGUAAGGUAGAUAUAGAUAUACAAGCCUAGAAAGAUUAACAGUCUGUCUGGUAUGGUCAUGCUGCUGUCAUUAUUGGGAUUAGAGGCACCUACCUGUCUAUAUGGCUAUUUUAUUUUCCCUUGGUCAAAAAACACCUUGGGGCACAAUCUUGAGCUGACAGUGCUGUUCUCAGGAGAAACAAGCGGAUGCUUCAGUAGAUCUUUCUCUUUUACACUGGCAUAACACAAUAUAAAUCAUAACCCUUCUUUCUUCCUAGCAUUUCGUAGUACCAUCAGUAAUGGAAUAUUAUUUUUUUCAACAACCAUUCAUGUACUGCCUGCACUGUCUGAAUGUCCCAGCUGGAACUGCAUAGGUUAAGGCCUCAAAUCAAUCCUUCCUGCUAACAGCCUGGGGAGCAGGCAAGUGAGUUUCUCACAGAAGGAGAAUUCUGACUAUCUAAAAGUAUAAAAAGGAUACAGACCUGACAAGUUUCAUUUAUUCCAUUCCUCACAUUUCUGAUUUUGCCUGUUCUGCACGUCAGGCAAUUAUUUUAGCACUAAAUGCAACGGUGCACACGCACAUACACUCAUACCUUGUACAAGAAGUUUCUUCAUAAAUAUCUCAGCCACGUGAGCCCAUCAAUAGUUCUCUGCAAGAGGGGUGAAGGUGUGUAUCCACUAGCAUUUCUUGGCAAUGAGUCCUUAUAGCUUCAUCCCUGUGAGAAUAGAAUGUGCCUUUUCAGUAGAUUAAAAAAGAAACCUCCAUCUUCGCUGCAGAGUAUCACUUGACACGCUUGUUGAUUUACUCAACUUAUUUUUCAUUCCAUAAUUCUUCCAGGCUGUGUUCAAAUGAUCUCACCCUACAUUUGUUUGAUGAAGGUUACCAAUCUGGAAAAUCCAUCUACUUCCACCUUCAUUAUUAUGACUGAUAUCUCUGCUGCUCUGUUUACUUGCCUUUAAUUUACUCCAAGGCUAACACUUGUUUUUGGCUGCAUCCACAAGGGAUCCAGUGAUAACUUUCCCCCGUCCCCACCUAGGCAGUGAGCACCUCUGCAAGACAACAAAUCCUUGG
ensembl:lncRNA